rnacentral:rRNA from 1 species
ACGAACGCUGGCGGCGUGCCUAAUACAUGCAAGUAGAACGCUGAAGAGAGGAGCUUGCUCUUCUUGGAUGAGUUGCGAACGGGUGAGUAACGCGUAGGUAACCUGCCUUGUAGCGGGGGAUAACUAUUGGAAACGAUAGCUAAUACCGCAUAACAAUGGAUGACACAUGUCAUUUAUUUGAAAGGGGCAAUUGUUCCACUACAAGAUGGACCUGCGUUGUAUUAGCUAGUAGGUGAGGUAAUGGCUCACCUAGGCGACGAUACAUAGCCGACCUGAGAGGGUGAUCGGCCACACUGGGACUGAGACACGGCCCAGACUCCUACGGGAGGCAGCAGCAGGGAAUCUUCGGCAAUGGGGGCAACCCUGACCGAGCAACGCCGCGUGAGUGAAGAAGGUUUUCGGAUCGUAAAGCUCUGUUGUAAGUCAAGAACGGGUGUGAGAGUGGAAAGUUCACACUGUGACGGUAGCUUACCAGAAAGGGACGGCUAACUACGUG